AGUGAACGCUGGCGGUAGGCCUAACACAUGCCAGUCGAACGGCAGCACAGUAAGAGCUUGCUCUUACGGGUGGCGAGUGGCGGACGGGUGAGGAAUACAUCGGAAUCUACUUUUUCGUGGGGGAUAACGUAGGGAAACUUACGCUAAUACCGCAUACGACCUACGGGUGAAAGCAGGGGAUCUUCGGACCUUGCGCGAUUGAAUGAGCCGAUGUCGGAUUAGCUAGUUGGCGGGGUAAAGGCCCACCAAGGCGACGAUCCGUAGCUGGUCUGAGAGGAUGAUCAGCCACACUGGAACUGAGACACGGUCCAGACUCCUACGGGAGGCAGCAGUGGGGAAUAUUGGACAAUGGGCGCAAGCCUGAUCCAGCCAUACCGCGUGGGUGAAGAAGGCCUUCGGGCUGUAAAGCCCUUUUGUCGGGAAAGAAAAGCAGCAGGUUAAUACCCCGCUGUUCUGACGGUACCCAAAGAAUAAGCACCGGCUAACUUCGUG
rnacentral:rRNA from 1 species